rnacentral:rRNA from 1 species
UACAGAGGUCGCAAGCGUUGUUCGGAUUCAUUGGGCGUAAAGGGUGUGUAGGUGGCGCGCUAAGUCGGGUGUGAAAUUUCGGAGCUUAACUCCGAAACUGCAUUCGAUACUGGCGUGCUUGAGGACUGGAGAGGAGACUGGAAUUCAUGGUGUAGCAGUGAAAUGCGUAGAGAUCAUGAGGAAGACCAGUGGCGAAGGCGGGUCUCUGGACAGUUCCUGACACUGAGACACGAAGGCCAGGGGAGCAAACGGG